AGCAAACCAUCGGAUCUCAUGGAUGUUCAAAGAAGCUGGAUGAGAGCCCCAGAUUUCCUGUUCUAGGCGAAGUGUAACAGCCUGCAGCACCACCCUGUGGAGAAAAGGGAUGAAAUGGAGAAAAUCACAAGCAACCAAAUAAGAGAGGAAGAACGGAGGGACAGAUGGGAGAGACCAGCGUUCUGAACUGUCUUGUCUUUGUUGAACAAAUGCUGUCAAAAGCGAUUUCUUCUUACAGAGGGGAUUUUAUUUCCUUUGCUUCAUUCUGUUUUGGGAUAAAUAACGGUUGUCAUGCUUUACGUUCUUUAUUAAUUGUUUCAACUCUUGUUCUUUUAAGGACAUAUGUCAGUUGAAUGCUGUCAAAAGUUCCACUGAGACAUUACAUCAAACUAACACUUAUGUAUCAGCAAAAGGAACUGAGUAAUCCUAUAUCAGCACAGAUGUUCUGAUAGAACUUGAGUCCAACGUCCACCAUAAUAGAGAAUUCAGUUGUUUAGGGCCUCUGAUGUGAUUGAAAACAAAUAUCCAGACCUUUCCUCACUUGGUCCACAACAUACCUAUGCUCAGGGGGAAAUAAAUGUUUCAGGGAUGGGGUUGGAUUGGUAUUCUUAGGCAACUGCCAAGUUCCCUAUGUUACAUGGGAGCUCCUUGCCAACCCAACCCACUGCUAGAGGAGGAGGAGGAGGAGGAGGAGGAGGAGUCACUGCCAUCUGCCACUCCCUCUGGAUUGUGCUGGGAUGAUCUCCUGGGAGAAGUAGACACCCUCUAGUGGACCUCCUCUUCCUCAGUGAUGGAAGUUUCUUCUUCUCUUCAUCUGCUGCCAUACAGAUGGCAAGACCAGGUGAAUGUGUAGCAUUAACUAAUCCUUCUCACCACUGCCACUUGCUUGCCUGCUUGGGCAGAUGUCAAGCAAGGAACAUCUGCCCUCUGUGCAGCAGGUGGGAAGGGAGAAGGAAGUGCUGCUGCUUGAGAUGGAGGAGGCUUGUGAGAGGCCAUCCUACUGAGGGCCCCUCCAAACCUGGAACUGGUCCUGAAUCACCCUCACACUGUGCAGGCUCCCUAUCAGUUGAAAUGUGUUGCUGCCUCCAAACUGAUCUGUGGAAGGAAAUCUUGAAAAUAAGCAUGGCGUAAGCAUAAGCUUACAGCAAAAAUAAGUAGGUACCUAGGAAACAAACAAUUAGAAGACUGGCCCUGAUUCUGGACGUUGCAACUCUCUAAAAGGGUGAUGGAUUUGUGAGAGUUUUCAACAGCAUCACAAAUGGAUAGUGCCCUGCAGUAGAAUUGCCAGGUCCUGAGUAGGAGACAGUGCCUUGUGUCUUAAUAGUAGCAGAAUAGUGAGAUGUGACUUGGAAGCAGUAACUCUUGGCCCUGGGCUGUAGUCGUCCCUCAGCUGCCUAGAUUCCUCCAUGUAACAGGGAUUGAGCAUAUUCAGAACCCGAGCCCAAAAAGUGGUUCAGAGGAGGGUUGUCAGUGAACUGGAAAUGAGCCUGAACUUGAAAUCUCUUGGUUGCUUUGAAACUGAACAAGAACCAAACCCCUAAAUGCAAAAAGCAGUAACCAGUUCACCAUAUGUGGUUUAAUAAUCAGACUCCCUGCUUUCAAUCGUAUGAUUAAUGUAUGCAUUUCAUUUGUUAAAAUCUUUUAAAAGUUUAAAAAUUAAUAAUAAAUAUUUGUCUUCACUUUUGCAUUA